AACCAUUCUCACCUGCGGCUAGACCUGCGGAAGGAUCAUUACCGAGUGUGAACCCCCCCGUAAAAAAGAGGGGUUACCUCCCGUCCUUUGCUGGGAACCCCUUUCCAACUUGGAAGGAGGUUGUUUUCAGACCCUUCUGCUUCGGUGGGGUAACCCACCGGAACAACCUCAAAAAUAUUCUCAAUUCAAAACCGUUCAGUCCGAGAACUUUUUUGAAAAGCGAAAAAACUUUUAGCAAUG
rnacentral:misc_RNA from 1 species